rnacentral:sRNA from 16 species
GAUGUAUACAAAAUAAAUGCAAACAAUAACAAUAGUUUUAUUUUAGUAAUCCGAUGAUGAUCUUUGCGAUGCAUGU